CAGAGAUACAAUAAGUUUUCGAUUAGGCUUCAAAACAUAAUCAACACAUAACUUUCAAUUAUAUAAUAAACAUGAAGUAAAUUAUGAUGUUCCUGUGCGUAACCACCAUAAUCUCAUUAUAAUCAUGCUAUUCAAAAUUGAGUAAUGUAUUAAAUUAAUUAGACUAAGUUAUCUGUUGAUAUCCUUAAUCUACACAUAUACAUACUCAUAAUUCUUUUAUAUCUAAUGUGGGUAACUUAUUAUCACAAAGAUAUAUCAAAACAAUGAUUUCAUUAUGCAAUAAUUUAUAAGGGAAGGUCACUGUAGUGAAAUCUAAACCUAAUUAUGCACUUUUAUUGAAAUCAGAUUUCUGU
rnacentral:lncRNA from 1 species